AUUGCCCGCUUUCUUCAUGCUUUACACAUGCAAGUCGAACGGUAACAGGCCGCAAGGUGCUGACGAGUGGCGAACGGGUGAGUAAUGCAUCGGAACGUGCCCGGUCGUGGGGGAUAACUACUCGAAAGAGUAGCUAAUACCGCAUACGAUCUAUGGAUGAAAGCGGGGGACCGUAAGGCCUCGCGCGAUUGGAGCGGCCGAUGUCGGAUUAGGUAGUUGGUGGGGUAAAGGCUCACCAAGCCAACGAUCUGUAGCUGGUCUGAGAGGACGACCAGCCACACUGGGACUGAGACACGGCCCAGACUCCUACGGGAGGCAGCAGUGGGGAAUUUUGGACAAUGGGCGCAAGCCUGAUCCAGCAAUGCCGCGUGCAGGAAGAAGGCCUUCGGGUUGUAAACUGCUUUUGUACGGAACGAAACGGCUCUGGUUAAUACCCGGGGCUAAUGACGGUACCGUAAGAAUAAGCACCGGCUAACUACGUG
rnacentral:rRNA from 1 species